rnacentral:rRNA from 1 species
AGUGAACGCUGGCGGUAGGCCUAACACAUGCAAGUCGAACGGCAGCACAGUAAGAGCUUGCUCUUACGGGUGGCGAGUGGCGGACGGGUGAGGGAUACAUCGGAAUCUACUUUUUCGUGGGGGAUAACGUAGGGAAACUUACGCUAAUACCGCAUACGACCUACGGGUGAAAGCAGGGGAUCUUCGGACCUUGCGCGAUUGAAUGAGCCGAUGUCGGAUUAGCUAGUUGGCGAGGUAAAGGCCCACCAAGGCGACGAUCCGUAGCUGGUCUGAGAGGAUGAUCAGCCACACUGGAACUGAGACACGGUCCAGACUCCUACGGGAGGCAGCAGUGGGGAAUAUUGGACAAUGGGCGCAAGCCUGAUCCAGCCAUACCGCGUGGGUGAAGAAGGCCUUCGGGUUGUAAAGCCCUUUUGUUGGGAAAGAAAAGCAGCAGGUUAAUACCCCGCUGUUCUGACGGUACCCAAAGAAUAAGCACCGGCUAACUUCGUG